GAUGAACGCUGGCGGCGUGCCUAAUACAUGCAAGUCGAACGGGAAUCUUCGGAUUCCAGUGGCGAACGGGUGAGGAAUACAUAGGUAACCUGCCCCUCCGAGGGGGACAACAGACGGAAACAUCUGCUAAGACCGCAUAGCCACAGGGAAGGCAUCUUCCCUGUGCCAAAUGUCCUUUCGGGGACAGCGGGGGGAUGGACCUAUGCCGCAUUAGCUGGUUGGCGGGGCAACGGCCCACCAAGGCGACGAUGCGUAGCCGGCCUGAGAGGGCGGACGGCCACACUGGGACUGAGACACGGCCCAG
rnacentral:rRNA from 1 species